CCAAUGGCGUACAUUAAAGUUGUUGCAGUUAAAAAGCUCGUAGUUGAAUUUCGGGAUCAAUAUGUUGGUCGUGCCUUGGUACGUACUAGUUUAUUGGUUCCUUCCUUCUGACGAACCAUGAUGUCAUUAAUUUGGUGUCAUGAGGAAUCAGGACUGUUACUUUGAAAAAAUUAGAGUGUUUAAAGCAGGCUCACGCUUGAAUACAUUAGCAUGGAAUAAUGAACUAGGACGUUUGAUUCUAUUUUGUUGGUUUCUAGGAUCGACGUAAUGAUUAAUAGGGAUAGUUGGGGGCAUUAGUAUUCAAUUGUCAGAGGUGAAAUUCUUGGAUUUAUUGAAGACUAACUACUGCGAAAGCAUUUGCCAAGGAUGUUUUCAUUAAUCAAGAACGAAAGUUAGGGGAUCGAAGACGAUCAGAUACCGUCGUAGUCUUAACCAUAAACUAUGCCGACUAGGGAUCGGAUGAUGUUAAUUUUUUAAUGACUCAUUCGGCGCCUUACG
rnacentral:rRNA from 1 species